UAAAGAUUUUAAGGGCGUACGGUGGAUGCCUUGGCGAUAUCAGCCGAAGAAGGACGCGGUAAGCUGCGAUAAGCUACGGAGAGGUGCAAGCAACCUUUGACCCGUAGAUUUCCGAAUGGGGGAACCCGGCAGUGGUUAUGCACUGUCACCCAUAGCUUAGACUAUGAGGAGGGCACCUGGGGAACUGAAACAUCUAAUUACCCAGAGGAAAAGUAAUCAAACGAGAUUUUCUUAGUAGCGGCGAGCGAACGGGAAAGAGGCCAAACCGGAGCGGGCAACCGCACCGGGGUUGAGGACAGUCAUCAAGUGUAAAUGAGGUAGAAGAAUCGAGUUGGAAAGCUCAGCCGAAGAAGGUGAAAGCCCUGUAAUCGAAACCUUGCAUACAUGGGACUGUAUCCAGAGUACCACGAGACACGUGAAACCUUGUGGGAAGCAGGGGGGACCACCCUCCAAGCCAAAAUACUGAUAUCGACCGAUAGCGCAUAGUACCGUGAGGGAAAGGUGAAAAGAACCCCUGGCGGGGAGUGAAAGAGAACCUGAAACCGUAUGUCUACAAACAGUCGAAGUCUGUAUAUAUAUCAGGACGACGGCGUGCCUAUUGAAGAAUGAACCGACGAGUUACUGUUGCUAGCGAGGUUAAGUGGAAAACAUGGAGCCGCAGCGAAAGCGAGUCUGAACAGGGCGUUCAGUUAGUAAUAGUAGACCCGAAACCGUAGUGAUCUAUCCAUGGCCAGGUUGAAGCACAGGUAAAAUUGUGUGGAGGACCGAACUCGUGAGCGUUGAAAAGCUUUGGGAUGAGUUGUGGAUAGGGGUGAAAUGCCAAUCGAACACGGAGAUAGCUGGUUCUCCCCGAAAUAGCUUUAGGGCUAGCCUCGAGGUUGAGAGUAUAGGCGGUAGAGCACUGAUCGGGCUAGGGGCCAUACCGGUUACCGAACCUAGUCAAACUACGAAUGGCUAUACUUAUACUCGGGAGUCAGACAGUGAAUGAUAAGGUCCAUUGUCAAGAGGGAAACAGCCCAGAACACCGACUAAGGUCCCAAAUGUUACACUAAGUGGCGAAGGAUGUGGAGUUUCCAAAACAACCAGGAUGUUGGCUUAGAAGCAGCCACCAUUUAAAGAGUGCGUAAUAGCUCACUGGUCGAGAGACUCUGCGCCGAAGAUGUCCGGGGCUAAAGUGUAAAACCGAAGUCGUGUCAUAUGCAGCAAUGUAUAUGGGUAGGGGAGCGUUCUCAUCGGGCUGAAGCAGUACCGUAAGGAGUUGUGGACUGAUGAGAAGUGAGAAUGUCGGUAUGAGUAGCGAAAAGAAUGGUGAGAAUCCAUUCCACCGAAAGCCUAAGGGUUCCUGAGCAACGAUCGUCGUCUCAGGGUAAGUCGGGACCUAAGCCGAGGCGGAAAAGCGUAGGCGAUGGACAACAGGUUGAAAUUCCUGUACCGGUGUGAAUCGUUUGAUCGAUGGAGUGACACAGUAAGGUAGGUCAGCACGCGAUUGGAAGUGCGUGUUUAAGCAGGUAGGUUGAGCUAUAGGCAAAUCCGUAGCUCUAAAAGCUGAGAUGUGAUGACGAGUUACUAGCGAUAGUAACGAAGUGAUUGAUCCUACACUGUCGAGAAAAGCUUCUAGGUAGAGACACAUCGCCCGUACCAAAACCGACACAGGUAGGCGGGGAGAGAAUCCUAAGGUGCGCGGGAAAACCCUCGUUAAGGAACUCGGCAAAAUGCCUCCGUAACUUCGGGAAAAGGAGGACUCAUGUAGUGUGAAGAGCAGCAACGCUUGGAGCAUGAAUGAGUGGCACAAGAGAGGCGCAAGCGACUGUUUACCACAAACACAGGUGCCUGCUAAAGCGAAAGCUGACGUAUAGGUGCUGACACCUGCCCGGUGCUGGAAGGUUAAGAGGAGGGGUUAGACUUCGGUCGAAGCUCUGAAUUGAAGCCCCAGUAAACGGCGGCCGUAACUAUAACGGUCCUAAGGUAGCGAAAUUCCUUGUCGGGU
rnacentral:rRNA from 1 species